ensembl:lncRNA
UUCUUUUUCAAUAACAGCAUGUCUGGAAAUGUUUUAUCCUCUUAUACCACGGCAAUUUGCCAAAAAUUGCAAUCUUUUAAAUAAUAAAGGAUGACAUACUUUUUUUUGCCCAUUUAUAGUUCAAAUUAAUCUUGUGGAAAGUCCACAAAAAAAAAAACAAGUUAGUUCCUGUUAUCACUUAUGUUAUAGCAUUCAUACCCUCAACAGCCUUUCUUUUUUCUUUUUGUUGUUAAUAAGACAAAAGAAAUGUAGCUUGUUUCCAAAAAAUACAAAUAAAUGCAAAUCAAACCUCCUCUGUGCUGAAGAAUUACUUGUGAGUAUUACUGUAAAUACUAACACUAGAGGUUCCUUCCAUAAAUGCUAAAUAAACAUCACUUUACAGAAAGCUUCACAGUAUCAACAAUUGUGGGUUUUUCUUUCUUUCUUUUUGUUAACAAAAUCUGUUCAAUUUUAGGUUUAAAUUAGUGUCUGCCAUACACAUGUAUGUGUAUACCCUGUGAAUUAGCCAUGUAGAACAACUGUUUUUAAACAAGCACAUUGAUAUAUAUAUAAUAUAUCCAAUGAAAUGUGACAAUUUUCACAUUUUCAAAGACGACAAAAAUAAAUGCCAUAUUGCACUCUGCCAGCAAAGCAAAUUUUACAUUACUUUGUUAUGAACAUGGCUAGAAUAUCUUUAGUCUUGUUAAUAUGACUGCUCUUAACAAAAUUCCAAAACAAGACAAAAACUCUUGUAUGCUUACUUAACAAUGUAGAGAUACUACUUGUCUUAUUUUAAUUUUUAGUUCUUUAAAAAGUGGUCUACUCUUUUGUUAAUGUAAAUGGAUUUUUUUUUUAUGUUUUAUACUGGUAUACUAUACUAAUCUUCAUGGUAAAAGUAUUUUAGAUUUUAUUAUCAUAUCGGUAUACUGUUAUACUGCAGUUCAGAAUAUUAAUAAUGAUUAGAAAAUAACUAAGAAAAGCAUUUGUACGUCACAAAUAAUAUUCAAUGCAUCUUAAUUUGUCCAUAAAGCUCAAAUAUUAUUAACUGAUUAAUUUCCUUUAUCUGUAUGUUCACCAAAUCUCUGUACAGUGGUAGAGAACUGUUGAGAUAUUAAUGUCUGACCGUUCAGGGCGAGUGAGAGCAUGCCGUUCUGAAAGUCUCUGCAUUUCUGCCUUGAUCUGCUCCAGCUUUUCUUUAAUAAUCCAAGUGUUGCUCAUUUUUCUGGGUGUGGAUCCCAAUACGCUACUAUAGCUCUUUCCUCUGCUUUCCUUUGGAUAUG